AAAAACAAAUCACGCGAGACUUCCUGUCCCUGUUCUCUUGGUAGAGUUGAAGAUGACGGCGGUAAUCGUCCGCGCUAAAGAGCAGCAGGUUUUAAUAGCUCAUCUCAAAUAUAUUAGCAAACAUUGGUGUUCCUCUGUGAACAAAUAUGUUUAUUAACUAUGUACUUAGGGUUAAGAAUGUAGCGACGUUCUAAUGGUCUUAGCGCGUUAGCAUUUUAGCUUCAAUGCAGGGGCAGCACGUGGUGGAGAGCGUGUCCUCGACUCUGCGACACAAGAGCAUUAUGACGGUCUGUUAUGCGCCACGUGAUUCCGAAAGUUUGAACGAGGGGAUGUUCUAAAGGUGCAGUAAAUUAGAUAUCAAAAGAGAACAUCUGUGCAGAAAGGCGGUUUUACAGGUGGAAUAUCUGAGUUGGGAUGAAGAAACUAGUUCCAAAGAAGACACCAACAAUAAACGUUCUUGUACAAAACUAUGUUAAGCCCCUAAAACUGAUCUUGAAUCAUGAUGCUAGAGGCCAGUGUGACUUCUGUCUGUUAGACUUUUUCUUCAGGUUUUCGAGGAAGAUCUGCUGCUCUUGCAGGUAGUCGUGGUCCUGUGUGCAGGAACACCAAAGUUUAGUGGAAAUAUAUGCAAUUAUUAAGACUCUGUUGAAAAUAUUUAAGCACACAUUUUCAUUGUGAUAUUUGCAUUAAAGUUUAUAAGCUUUACAAU